rnacentral:misc_RNA from 1 species
GAUGAAUAACGUAGUGAAACGCGAUAGUUAAUGUGAAUUGCAGAAUUCAGUGAAUCAUCGAGUCUUUGAACGCACAUUGCGCCCAUUGGUAUUCCGUUGGGCAUGUCUGUUUGAGCGUCAUUACAACAGUUCAGCGUAAGCUGGUUAUGAGUUCUGUUUUUUUAAACAAAAAACAGGCUUUAAAAUGUAUGUUCUGCAGGUCGCUUUGCUAAACCCUAAACAUUAAAUACUGUUCUAGUGAAGCAUUUGCGACUCUGCCUGAAAAAAAACUUUUGUUAAAGUUUGACCUCAGAUCAGACAAGGAUACCCGCUGAACUUAAGCAUAUCAAUAAGCGGAGGA